rnacentral:rRNA from 1 species
AUUGAACGCUGGCGGAAUGCUUUACACAUGCAAGUCGAACGGUAGAGGGGGCAACCCCUCGAGAGUGGCGAACGGGUGAGUAAUAUAUCGGAACGUGCCCAGUCGUGGGGGAUAACGUAGCGAAAGUUACGCUAAUACCGCAUACGAUCUAAGGAUGAAAGCGGGGGAUCGCAAGACCUCGCGCGAUUGGAGCGGCCGAUAUCAGAUUAGGUAGUUGGUGGGGUAAAGGCCUACCAAGCCAACGAUCUGUGGCUGGUCUGAGAGGACGACCAGCCACACUGGAACUGAGACACGGUCCAGACUCCUACGGGAGGCAGCAGUGGGGAAUUUUGGACAAUGGACGCAAGUCUGAUCCAGCCAUUCCGCGUGCAGGAUGAAGGCCCUCGGGUUGUAAACUGCUUUUGUACGGAACGAAAAGGUCUCUCUUAAUACGGGGGACUCAUGACGGUACCGUAAGAAUAAGCACCGGCUAACUACGUGCCAGCCGCCGCCGUAAAAC